rnacentral:lncRNA from 1 species
CCAAAGUGCAGAAAAGAUGAAAAAAUGAGAAGAUAAAGCAUGCCGACUGUAUAAGUAAGCAAAUUUGUUCUUUUAAAACAGAGUGUCACUUUCAGAAGUUGCUGGAGUGACCAGUGCAGUUUUUACAUGGCUUACAAAUUUAAGAAUUCUGGCUCUCAGCGGGUCUUUGCUCCCUCGAUUAGAGAUCACUUACUUGCAUAGACUGGGAGCUAUCGGUGCUGGUUGCUAAUAUUUCCAGUCCUCUCUUUGGAAACACAGGGAAUUGCAUUUCUUUAGCUCCCUGAGCUUCAAUCUGGCCAUAUCCAUUGUUUUUACCAGUGAAAUGUGCACAUAAAUGACAUUUCACAUGAGUCACACAAUGAAUCCCCAGGGCUCGUUGCACGACCCUCUCUCCCGGCCCCAGCAUCAUGGAAGUCUAUUUUGAUAAGGAGGCACUUUGUUGAAUCAUUGUAAGAAGGAAACCUUCCCUGGAGAGGCACCUGGGGUAAAAUUAUUAUUUUUAAAAAAGUAAUAAUAAUAAUAGUAGUGAUAGGAGUAGAUAUUAUUUGUUUCUCUGAAAGCUACUGGGAUUUAGGGGUUGCUUGUUAUUGCGGAAUGACCCAGUCUAUCCUAACUAAUGCGACAGCUAGAUUAACCAUCAUGAACUGUGCUGACAGGUCAGAGGGUGGGGUAAGUCAGCACAUGUCCAUCUCAGGAAGGCUGACACACAGAGUUCAUCCAGGUAUUUCUGUGCAAGCCGAAGCCCUUCCUGGAUGAGCCCGUACCAUUCACAUAGAUUGUCUCAAUUCUCACGACAGCGCUAUGUGAGAAUUAAAUGGGAGAGAUAGUACCACCCACAUUCUCACAUUUCACAGAUGAGAGAGUCAUAGAGUUCAUGUCACUCGCCCAAGAUCACAUUCAAGUGGCCAGGGUGACACCACAGCCCAGGUUCCUUCCAGCAUCCUACUGCCUCUCAGGAAGCUGGCCUAGAAUUCCUCCUCCACUGAUGAAAGUAGUUCACGCACACUGCCACAAAACCAGAGCCCACAAGGGCGUGGUCAUUAGUGCUCCUUUUAAAAUGUUAGUUCUCCACUUAGUCUCACUGAAGUCUGAAUCAAGGGUCAGGGUGUGGGGGUGGGGUUCCUUUCAAAGUCAAAGAAACAGGUAAGAAGUUGUGGAUGGAAUGGGGCAAAUUAAUUCCAAUAUCUGAAAAAAACAAACCAGAAAAUUGGUCAGCAGGGUCCUCAUUAUGCAUCAAACACAGGCAAGAUUUCUAUGUGGCAUAUAUAUUAAACAACAGCCACCCCAAACCCCGCAGAAUUCCAAAAGCUCUCAAAAUGUUGUUCACUCUAUUUUUCUAGGGAAAAAAAAAGUGGUUGUAACCCAACCAGGCAAGUGUGUGUUUGGCUGGUGCCUGGGUCUGGGUGAACUCCCAAGUUUCCCUUUGCUGAGAUGCCUUACAGCCCACCCCAGAGCGUCCACACAGCAGCGAAGUCCACAAAAACAAGGGCCCUGGUGACCCUGCUCAAGGGUAGACCCCGGCUCAUGGGCAGGCAGUGAGCCUUCGGAGCAUUUGUUAAACCAGUGAAUGACCCCUGACUCCCCUCAGUACAUAACCACAGAACGAAGAAUGAGAUCUCCAGGAGGCACACUCCACAGUGAGCUGCUGCUCUUCUCUCCACCGUGGAACCCGCCAGGCCCCGUGACAGCCACAAGGCAACUGGACUUUUUGGAGUUUCCGUUGCUUUAAAUAAAUCAUCCCUAAUAUUGCAGGUCUGAUUCCAAUACAUGUGUCACCCAUUCCACAGUGAAGAUGAAAGAUGAGAGUCCCCAGAGAGGCUGUACCAAGUCUACAAAAUGCCCAUCAGCUCGGGAGGCUGAGGCCAGGGGAACACAAGUUCAAAGCCAGCCUUAGUGAGGAUAUGAGCAACCUAGCAAGACCCUGUCUCAAAACAAAAGCUAAAAAGGACUGGGGAUGUGACUCAGUGGUUAAGUGCCCCUGGGUUCAAUCCCUGACACACACACACACAAGGAUGUGAGACACGUCCUGCAUAUACAAGUGUAUGUCACAGGAGUCAGGCUCCAAGAACUACAGUUUGCCACAAAUGUGAUCGUUCUCUUUUGCACUAUCACACCAACUGUGGACCCAUAGUGGAAUUUCCUUUAUUCUUUCAUUUAUUUGCAUGCAUAACGUUUGGGGGAAAAAUCUGAAUAAGGGCCAGGCAUAGUGGAGCACACCUGUAAUCCUAGUGGCUCAGGAGGCUGAGGCAGGAGGAUCUUGAGUUCGAAGCCAUCUUUAGCAACUUAGCGAGACCCUACCCCUAAUUAAAAUAUGAAAAAGGGCUGGGGAUGUGGCACAGUGGUUAAGCGUUCCUGGGUUCAAUCCCUGGUACCCCCCAAAAAAAGUUUUGAAUGAAUGCUUUAUCUACUAGAAUCAUAUGCAAUGGAAUUGCCAUCAGGGUCAUGGAUGUAGGCAGAUUGGGGGCUCUUUGCAAACAGUCACAUAAGACUCAUUUUCCAAAAACUCCUUUUAGCACCUUGCCUUGCAUCAAAUAGGUAUCUAGCAUGAGCCUGUCCUAUAGGCUAAGUAUCCACUCAUUUCCUACAACAAAACUGAGUUUCUCCUCAUGCAAACUCCACAGAAAACAGGUGGCUGUCAGAUCUUUAAUGGCGGGAAAUUGUUGGUUUUGAUUUUAAGAUUCACUGUGAUCUUUAGACUCGUUAUAGACAACACUUUAUUUUUAACUUUCAAAAUAAACACAAAAUUACAGAAAUCCAGGAGGGCACGUUGGUGGCCUAAUGUCCCAUCACCCAGAAUACUUUACUGCAGGUUUUUCCUGCCGUCAGGGACGGUUCUCCUACAGGACCACAAUACAUCCAUCAAAGAAAACUAAUAUUGACAUGGGGUGUCCCCGAAUCCUUAGACACCAUUAAGUCUCUCCAAUAGCCUCAGAGAUGUUCCUUAUAACCCAAGGAUCCAGUCCAGAGCCACGCAUUGCGGCCCUUCACCUGUCUUUAGUUGGAAAGAGAUGCUGGACAUUUUCCUUUUCUGAUCCCAACAUACUUCUGAGGCAAGCAGGAGCUGCACCCAGCAGGACAUUACUCCCUGUGGACGCUGGGCUGCUCCCCAGGUUAGACUCAGGCUGUGCAUCUUGGGUAGCACAGAGGGGCCCUGAGCGCCCUUCCCCCCCUGCUAAGUGGUGCACGAUUGCACUUUGUCCCUCACAGGUGGCCUCGGGUCCCUGCUUCCAGUAACGUUGCCAGGCUUCUCCCCUGCAGGGCGAGUUUCCCCCUUUCUAGUGACAACCCAUGUGGAGAAGUGAAACUUCAUGGUCGGAUUUUCACAUUGCUUAUUAAUACGUGAGGAUUCGUUGUUUCCUGUUUGGUUUGAUGGGUUAAAACUGGUGAUAUAAGUUUGCAUGAUGAGGCUCAAGUUGUCCUGGGCUUGGGCCAGGUGGAACCUCGCCAGCCGGCUCCGGGCCUUCCCACACGACUCCCCAGCUCUUCCAGUGAUUUCUGGCCUCUGGCACACCAGCGCCUUCCAGGGAGCGCCCACCCCAGCCCCAGAGCAGCCAUUUCUCCAAAGACAGAGCAAGAAGGAAACUUAAAGAAAAUCUAAUGCAACCAUCUUUUUAAAAGUUUAAUAGCUAUCUAAUUUCUAAGGAUAAUUUUGCUUAUUCUAAGAGAAAUUGAGUUCUAUUUUUUUAUUUUCAGUGGCAGAAGGUCCGUGAGUACCUGGAGUGAUGGAAAACUGCAUGUGGCAUUUUCUACGUGGCUGAUGGCCGGGAGAUAGUUGUCUUUGUCCCUCUCAGUGUUUGUCUUGCUCUUCUAUGAGUCUCAGGGACUGGCAGACGCAGGUGACGGCACUGUGAGUCAACGGUUUGUUCUGUGCGGUUAAAACAGGAAGAGUCAGUGACUCUAUUCUUCAAACUAAUAACUACGAGAAAAUAAAUCAAUCCCAUUAUUGUCACCCCCCCCACACACACACACACACACUCAGGACAUGUGGUCUUGAGGCCGGGGCAGACUCAGGGAUGGCAAUUGAGCUGGGAUCAGCAGAGAGGGGUGGCAAAGAACCAGCACCUUCAGGAGACUGAUUCGCUUGCGGAUGGAAGGAGUUUAUAGAGGUGCAGUAGGAACACAGCUGUUUCGGAAAGUGCAUGGAUUUGUUUUUUCAGCUACCAAAUAUCUUUUAGGUAGGUCAAGGUCAAUUGCAAAUAAUAGAAAACCCAACAAGAGUGACCUAAGGGAGUAGAGGUAGAUUUUUCUUACAAGUUUGGAGGUGAGAGGUUACUUAUGGUGGUGAGUCGGCUGAUUCCUUUGGUCUUUCCCUCAUGACCCCAAGAUGGUAGUGCAACUCCAGGCAUUACAUCUGCGUCCAAGACAAGAAAAGUAGCAUUGAUGGACAAUUUGUCAUCUUUUAUGGGGAAAAUCAAAGCUAUCCAGAGCCCUGCUUCACACUAACCCAGUAGGUAUUUGCCCACUGACCUACCAGUUUUCACACCUUUCCUCUCAGAGGCAAAGCAACCUGGGAAAGUAAGUAUGAACCAGGGUCUCCCUUUUAGAGGAGAGGGAGAAAGGUAAAAAGUGAGUAGGAAUCAGGGUUGGCCCACCCAGCCUUUUGUCAACCACAAGAGCACUGGCUGGUUACUUUCCACAUAUAUUAAGGAGGCAAGAGAAGUUUCACUUGGAACUAGCAAAACCUUCCCCAACCUUUAAGUCAGGCAACACAGGCCUCUGUGUUUCAAGAGCUUCAUGCUAAGAAAUGCUCAUUAUGAUGUGUCUCAGAGAUUGAGAUAUUUGGUUGCAUGAGACCUGGAGACAGACCAGAUGAUUCUAUUAGCUCUGUGAUCCUUUGAUUCACAAUUGCAAACUUACGUUCUCUACCUUUCACAGCCUGUGAAGUACCAAAGAAUGUAGGAUGGCCAUCCCCCCAGUUUCAGCCCUCCCUCCUCCACCCACCUCGUAGGGAAGCUUGAAAGGUGCUUUGUUUUAGCAAUUCUAAGCGUAAUGCUGUUCCUCUUAUUCAAACACGGUUUCAAGUCUGCAAGACAAAAGUACUCAAUAAAAGUGAGAUAUAAGCAAAAUAUCGGGAAAUCAAGAUGUGUUUAGUUUACCAAAAUGCACUGGGAUAAAGCUGAGAGUUCCUACCAGAUAGAAGAGAAGGCAUGACUUGCAUAUGCUGUGGGCACUUUACAGUCACAGAACUUCUCUAGACAUAAUAUUAUACAAGACUGUGUGUUAUGCUUAUUUUUAAAGUAAACACAUUUGUAAAUCAC